GCCUACAGCCACACCACCCUGAAUGCACCCAAUCCCGUCCGAUCUCGGAAGUUAAGCAGGGUCGGGCCUGGUUAACUUGGAUGGGAGACUAUCUCUUUCAAAAGCUAUCUGAC